rnacentral:tRNA from 1 species
CGGACCGUAGCGCAGUCUGGUAGCGCGUUCGUCUGGGGGGCGAAAGGUCGCGGGUUCAAGUCCCGCCGGUCCGACCA